rnacentral:rRNA from 1 species
UACAGAGGAGCCAAGCGUUGUCCGGAUUGACUGGGCGUAAAGCGCACGCAGGCGGUUUCGCGCGUGGGGUUUGAAAUCUGGCCGCUUAACGGCCAGGCGCCAUCCCAUACGGCGCGACUGGAGGGCUGCAGAGGUCGAUGGAAUUGCCGGUGUAGUGGUGAAAUGCGUAGAGAUCGGCAGGAACACCCAGGGGGAAACCAGUCGACUGGGCAGCACCUGACGCUGAGGUGCGAGAGCGUGGGGAGCGAACCGG